rnacentral:rRNA from 1 species
AUGAAGGUUAGCAAGCUGCCAGAACACAUUGGACACCUACACUGCUUAGAGAUGUUGGACAUAACGAACACAGCGGUGUACGAUUUACCAGCAAGUUUUGUCAAUCUCAGAAGAUUGGCACAUUUUCGUGUUGGCCAAUGUGUUAGGUUUCCUGAUGGAAUUGCGAAGAUGCAAGCAUUGGAGACUUUGAAAAUUGUGCAGACCUCCAUGCAGUCAUAUAAUUUUCUGCAAGAGCUUGGAGAGCUAAAGAAUCUGAGGAAGCUGUUCCUUUUUACUAUACAUGACGUAGAACACAAGGAGGUCGUUGCUUCUUCUCUCCGUAAACUGUGUUUGCAGAACCUUAGUUCUCUAGAUAUGUGGAAUGAUUGUGACAACAUUGUACUGAAUGCAUGGUGCAUGGAUCCGCCGCUUAGCCUCCAGAAACUUAAUAUCGUCAACUCAGUCCUCCCAAAGGUUCCAGAUUGGGUAGGAUUGCUUGUCAACCUGCAGAUCUUACGCUUGGAAGUGAUGAGAAUCAGGCAUGAAGAUCUCUGUAUCCUUGGAUCCUUACCUGCUCUGCUCACUCUGUUUCUUAGAGGACCGCAAGGUUUGUAUCCUUGUAAAGAUAGAAAGCUGGCAGUCCCUAGUGAAGCUGGGUUCCGAUGCCUGAAGAUGUUCCGUAAUGAACCAUGGCAUGAUUGGAUAGAUCUCAUGUUUGAAGCAAGAUGUAUGCCCAAGCUAGAAAAACUGGAGAUUAAUUUGCUUGUAUUCUCCAGUGCUCAACUUGAGUCCCUUAGCGGUCCUGGUGCUUUCAAUUUUGGGAUCGAAAACCUCUGCAGCCUUGUAACAUUCAAAUAUGAAUCACUUUCUAUCUGGAGCGGCUUAAGUAGCACCACUGUUGAUGCAGUAAAAGCUUCUCUGGAGAGUGCAGUCAGCGCACAUCCCAACCACGUUACUCUAAUCUUCAAUCAUGUCAAUCAGGGUGAUCCAUGA